rnacentral:misc_RNA from 1 species
AACGCACAUUGCGCCCCCUGGUAUUCCGGGGGGCAUGCCUGUCCGAGCGUCAUUGCUGCCCUCAAGCACGGCUUGUGUGUUGGGUCUCCGUCCCUCCGGGGACGGGCCCGAAAGGCAGCGGCGGCACCGCGUCCGAUCCUCGAGCGUAUGGGGCUUCGUCACCCGCUCUGUAGGCCCGGCCGGCGCUUGCCGACACCAAUCAAUCUUUUUUCCAGGUUGACCUCGGAUCAGGUAGGGAUACCCGCUGAACUUAA